rnacentral:rRNA from 1 species
AACGAACGCUGGCGGCGUGGAUAAGACAUGCAAGUCGAACGAGAGAAUUGCUAGCUUGCUAAUAAUUCUCUAGUGGCGCACGGGUGAGUAACACGUGAGUAACCUGCCCCCGAGAGCGGGAUAGCCCUGGGAAACUGGGAUUAAUACCGCAUAGAAUCGCAAGAUUAAAGCAGCAAUGCGCUUGGGGAUGGGCUCGCGGCCUAUUAGUUAGUUGGUGAGGUAACGGCUCACCAAGGCGAUGACGGGUAGCCGGUCUGAGAGGAUGUCCGGCCACACUGGAACUGAGACACGGUCCAGACACCUACGGGUGGCAGCAGUCGAGAAUCAUUCACAAUGGGGGAAACCCUGAUGGUGCGACGCCGCGUGGGGGAAUGAAGGUCUUCGGAUUGUAAACCCCUGUCAUGUGGGAGCAAAUUAAAAAGAUAGUACCACAAGAGGAAGAGACGGCUAACUCUGUGCCACCAGCCGCGGUAAUACAGAGGUCUCAAGCGUUGUUCGGAAUCACUGGGCGUAAAGCGUGCGUAGGCUGUUUCGUAAGUCGUGUGUGAAAGGCGCGGGCUCAACCCGCGGACGGCACAUGAUACUGCGAGACUAGAGUAAUGGAGGGGGAACCGGAAUUCUCGGUGUAGCAGUGAAAUGCGUAGAUAUCGAGAGGAACACUCGUGGCGAAGGCGGGUUCCUGGACAUUAACUGACGCUGAGGCACGAAGGCCAGGGGAGCGAAAGAAAUUAGAUACCCCUGUAGUCCUGGCAGUAA